UUUCUUUAAAAAGAGUCCAACCUUAGGUCUGUAGUCCAAAGCGUCCAUGAGUUAUAACAAUUUAAGUUUGAAUAGUGCGCUUUCAGAUCUAUAUUCAAAAAUUGGGAGUGGCACUUAAAGAGUUAAACAAAUACAGAUUGGUGAGCAAAAGAGAUUUCUUAAAGAAUAAAAUAAAAAUAAAAAAUCUUACCAACUCUAAAUGUUUGCAUCUAUUGACAUGUAUACAGACCCAUUAGUACUGUGUAAAAAUAACUGCAUUCAAGCUAAAACAUUUUUUUAAAUAAUAUCUGGUUAAUAUUUACUUUAAGUUUUUUUUUGUCCACUAUUAGAAUAAUGCAAGAUCUUACAAACAAGGGUUGUCAAUAUGGUUGCCUGAAUGAAACCGUAUAAUGUCAACAUAAUGCAAUUGAUCUUCUUUUUUUUUUUUUAGGUGCACACUCUAAUUCCCCUGAUGCCAUUUUGAAAACUUCAGACCUGUAAGAUUAAUUUUGUGGUAAAACAACUGUCAGGUUCUCAAUCCACUUAUUUGCACAUUAAAAAUCUUACAUAAACUACAAUGGAAUGCAUUUACCAAAUAACUUCCUAAUGCAUCUAAAAAGUUAUGUAACUUUGCCUUAACAAGGCAUGUUACAAUAAUAUCAGUGUAUAGCAUCUCACGUGUUGCUCUAGUCAUUCUGAAAUACUUGAGUCAAAGCCUAUAAAAAAGAUCACAUUGCAUGAAAACAUUUCAAAUGAUCGCAAAUUAUGUUUGCAAUAUUCCUGCCACUUGGAAUAACUAUAAACAUAGUGUCUGGUGAACAGUAGGCCAAGUGCUGGAGUCGCUUUGUCAGUCACUAAGCCACAGUGAGACGAGGGUAAAGCGCAGGGGCGGCAGGGCGACACACCCUGGAUCAGCGGCCCUGCAUUACUCACGGGGACACAGAGAGCCUCUGCUGUGCUUUUCAACUCUGUUCUCCAAUCAGGAAGGAGAAAUGGGCCCAGUCUGAACCAACAGCUGACAUACACAAUAACACACAGAUGCAGGGAGACUUAUCACUUUAACACAAACACAGAUGCACGUGUACACCAGCCAUAUAACAAGGCGUAGGACUCACAAACAGACAGUAUUAAAUUAUCAGAAUAAAAGGAAAAAAACAAGCAGUUGCGUUUAGACUUCUAGCACCGGGACCUCAUCAACACUGAAUAUACGUGCUUGAAAUCCAGGCGUUUUGAUUUAGACCGUUUCCUUUCUUUUGUGAGGCACUUGGCCCAAUGCAUUAGGCCCAAGAGGAGCAUUUCUACAGGCCACCAUGCAUUAAUGAAGCCAUCCUGGCCCUGCUUUAAAGAGAGACCGUUAAUACACUGUUAAGACUACAUUCCUGGGAUGAUUUAAGGAGGACGGCGAGACUGCGCUCUGGAGGAAAGGUUUUUAUGGAUGGAGGAGUCAUGUAGGGAGAGGGACAGGUCUCUCCAAAAGUAUUUCAAACAGAGAGGAACAGGCAUCUGGGUAAGCAGUGCAAGGGCCACGAGGAGUAGAAGUUUUCUGUUUUUCUUCUAAUAUUUGUUUUGUAUUUUAUUACAGCAUAAUUGUAAUUAACAAAACUAUUUUAAUAGUUUUAGUUAAUAAUAACAACACUGCUUUGUACCCUUUUGUACACAGUAAAGGACUGAUGCUGUCCUGAUGGUGAGACGUGCACAAGCAUGAAGGAGAACUAAACACACCCUCACACUCAGUUUCACCCUUUUAGAGGGGAUUACGAUGUAUAUUCUAAUUAUUUACAUCCUCAUCUAGUGUGUAUUAUAGAGACGGAGAACAGGCUGAUUUAUUGAGACAUGAUUCUUUGAGAGGUCAGGCCUGAGGCAUAAAUCUGAAGCGCCAUCACCAGCAACACAAGACAAAAUCUAAUCAUGCUUCCAUGUGUGACAGAGAUAAAUCCCAACUCUAAUAUCUCGAGUAAAACUUAGAGGAAGUUCUGCUGAAGGCAAGCGAGUCUGAUGAAUGCCAAGAUGUUCAUUCCCACACCUCUCACCUAAACCUGACAUUGUUUUAAAAAAACAAAUAAAUGAGGUAAAAUUAAGUAACUCACUUACUUACUUACUUAUAUUAGCAGUUUAUAUUUCUGUAAUUGUUUCCUUGCACCAAACUAAGUAAAAAGUAGAAAAAAAUUGGUCGAAGCGUCUCAAAGCUACUCACAGCUUCCGUAAUGGAAUGAAUCUGUGUGUUUAAACGAAUCGAUUCACUAAAAGAUUCAAUGACUCACUCAAAUCAACUGCCGUUUAAGUGGAACCACAAAGGACAACUGGGAAAACAGGAUGUUUUUUUAUAUACCUCCUGUUAAGAAGUGAUAUAAUUGAAAGCUAUAUUAUAAAACAUAAAAAAUAGAAUAUAGAAAAAAAGAAUAUCAUAAUAAAAAAUUCGAAUGAAUGUUCGGCCAAUCAGAUUGGAUUAUGUCUUAAAGGGUUACUCCACCCCUAAAUAAAAAUUUUGUCAUUAAUCUCUUACCUCCAUACAUAUAGACGCUUGGUCUGGUAACACCCCCUGGAACGCCCCGUCACAUUUUUAGCCCAUUGGGGAAAACAUUGCUUUGGGGCCAAUUGAAAUACAUGGGACAAUCAUGCCGAAGAGUUGCUGUGUCGUUUUCUGUACCUCCAAUAAACUAACAAAUUAUUAAUUAAAGUUCUACAUCCUUCCUUAUAAACAUACAGAACCGGAAAGGAUGACAAAAUGGCUAUCAAAUUGUGAAGAUGAUUAAGGGAAGUUGUGGAAUCCCAAGAAUAAGCAUGUGUGUGUGUGUGUGUGUGUGUGUGCAGUCUGCCUUUCAUCACAGGGAGGCUACGUUAACAUUGUGCUCAUUAUAACGUUAUCAAAACUGUAUAAGGUUGUUUCAGAAAGUGGAAUGCAUAUAUAAUUAGCCUUAUUAUUCUACCUGAAGCAAAACUAUGUAACGUUAGCCUAGUGUCGAACCUAAACUCGCAUGAAAACACGUCUGCUAAGAGGUGUAGUCCACUAGAGAAGACCAAGGAUUUCCGUAUACCCACUUAAAAAAGCGUGAGGAUACGUAACAACUUGCUUUUGUGUCUGAACUUUUACAUUUUCAUUCAUCAUAAAUGAAAGACUCCGCCCCCAACUAUGACUAGAUGCUGACUGUAUGUCGUUCCAAACCCGUAAAAGCUUUGUUCGUUUUCUUAUAACAAUUUAAGAUAUUCUGCUUGAAAACAGGGAGACUUGUGACUGUCAUUAUUUUCGAUUUCUUGUCGUACAAAAAGUUUUCUCGUCGCUUUAUAACGUUACGGUUGAACCACUGAUGGCAGAUGGACUAUUCCGAUAGUGUUUCCAUUCUGUACCUUGACUGUAAUUUACUACGGGACAGUCACAAGCCUCCCGUUUUUCAUCCAAAAUAUCCUAAAUUUUGUUCCGAAGACGAACAAAGCUUUUACUGCUUUGAAACGACAUGGGGCUAAGUGGUUAAUGACAAAAUUUUCAUUUUGGGGUGGUGUAACCCUAUACUAUCAGCUGCAUGUUUGAAUUACUUCUGUGCUGAUAUAGGAAAUUCAGAACAACUCGCACGUUUGUGUGAUGUUGCCUAAUUUAAAUAGUUUGUUUAUAGUUGUACUUUAAACACUUUUAUGUUAUUCAAAGGCUGUAGAUGUCAUUAAAAUAGUAUUACCAGCGAUAUAAGAAACUGGAUGUGUUGCAACUGGUUGCACACAGACAAAGAACUCGUGUGGUAAAUCCGUAGCCUAGCCAGUAACAGACAACGGCCUUAAAUCAUGAUGAUGAAACACUCAGGCAAUGCACAGCUCAGAGCCAAUGUUAACAUUGGACUUAUGUAGUUAAGCCUGUGUCUGCAGGUUUCACUGUCAGACAAAUACCCAUAUUACCCUGCCUCAAAACUGAGUCCCAUCUACAGCUAUUAGCGAGCUUAAUGAGACCUCCUCCCACUCACAAUAAUACAUACAGUAACACAACAGGGCCCGCACCUACACAACAAAUAUUAAGAUGACUAAUAGACGUUUUCGCCAGUGUCGCAAAAUAGCAUCAUUAGCAUAUUGGGGUCAUGUAGUUUUGAAAUCCAUGAUUAAUGUCUUGGACAUCUCUAGUAUGAUGAAAGCAGAGGCUUCGCACCUUUCCGACAACCUGCUCUUCCACCUGUCAUAUGGCCAGCACAGGAGACAUAGAGGGAGAGAUGUUUACUCGAUGAUGUCCUGGAAAACAUCUGUUGUCAUGCUGACCACCAGAAGAUACAACAAGAGCACUUGAUCCAGACAGAAGGAUGGGCUGGGUGUGGGAGCGUACAAUAAAGAUGAUGAGAACAUCAGUUUCCUUCAUGGAAGAAUGCAUCCUGAGAUUUUCUGGGAUUUUCAGGAAGCAGCUCAAAUCUAGAGUCAACAGUCUGUUCACAAUGACAUUCUUCUUCCUUUCAAGACUGCAAAGCCACAGCAGUUUCCCAGCGUUUGCAAACAUUUGCUCUUCUCAUACCAAACUCAUACCUGAAAUGCACACGUGAUGACUGCUCUCUGCGGUUACAAACAUAGGCCACUGCGAGCCCUGUUACCGAGCCAGUUCAAAUUACCAGGAGCUUCAAAUGUGGUAUUUUAAGUCCUACAUUGAGUGUGGUCUGUAAAAUGACUUUCAAUUUGUUAGCAAGCCCCCCCCCCCAACAUGGUUGGUUUUAGCUGGUUGGCAUGGUCUAGUUAAUCCUAGUUCAUCGAGUACUUUAUUAUGGUAGUUUGUAGAGGACUCUUUAAAGUGUGAAACUGGUUUCUCUGUGCAGCUUGAGAAAAUGCCAUUUUGAUGAAUGGAACUGCUCUAUCAAAGUAUCGUAAUCCUCUUCGGUUUCCAUCUGCACCUGCAUAAGGUUUCUCCAGGCACACUGUCUAGUGAGCAUGCCUGAAUUUGCUAUGCAUAUUAAUCUGAUUAAAUACUUCAGAUUGCAUAGACAGCUAGGGGUCAUUACAUGUGCCAAAAGAGAUUCAAGAGCCACUUAGAUGUGAAGACACGCUGGUAUGUCAUUACCCAAGCAUCAGUGCCACGAUCUCAGGAGACGUCCAGAACCUUGUGAUCUUCUCAUGCUUGGUGGCCGGAGAUGAGCUAGAUGAACAAGAAUGCCAGGGCUAUAACACGACCCACAUGGCUCCACUCGCAGCUUGGCACUCUCUCUAGGCAGGACCGGCACAGUUGCCAAAUCUGCUCCCCAUUGGUGGGUUUGGCAAAGCCAGAACCUAGAAAAUUUCUCAACACUGCAAUCUGUUUUUCCAUCAGUUACACUGAACUUGAAAUGCCAAGCUGGAAUCUGUUUCUGCUGUGCGUUUAGACUGACAAACAGAUUAUUGCCAAAUGACAUUCCAGUACGAUGCGCUAAAAUCACUGCAGCGGGACUGCUUUAGGCUCUCGUUGGCUAGUGCUUUUUAGCAUGAGCUUUCCAUAAGCCAUUGUCUCACAUUAGUCCCCAAUGUGCUGGGCAGACAGACCAGGGCAGAAUUCCCCUACUUUAAACAACACGUUUCUAUGAGUCAUUAUAUGGGAAAGAGAGAGUGCUGGAGGCAUGCCUGGACAGAUCGGAGUUCCCCUUUACAGCACACACACACACACACACACACACACACACACACACUGAGUCACACACUCCAUGCUCUCCAAAAAGUUGUAUUUUUUCUUCACAAAGUGUCAUUUGUGAUCCAAUGUCCCAUUAAAUUUGUCUUUAUCUCUUCUGUAGCCCAUUUCUAUUCAAAUGCUGUUCUUAAUGCAGACCUCAAUGACUUCUGUCAAGUAAUAUUGUAAUUAAAAUCAUAUGAUCAUAAAGCUUCCAUAUGUUCCUUCAUAAAGAGACUACUGUACAUAAA